rnacentral:rRNA from 1 species
CCGCCGCGGUAAGACGGAGGGGGCAAGCGUUGUCCGGACUCACUGGGCGUAAAGGGUGCGCAGGCGGUGCCGUGCGUCGGCGCUGAAAGCGCCCGGCUUAACCGGGCGAGGUGCGGCGAUACGACGGCACUGGAGGCAGGUAGAGGUUGGCGGAAUUCCGGGUGUAGUGGUGAAAUGCGUAGAGAUCCGGAGGAACGUCGGUGGCGUAAGCGGCCAACUGGGCCUGACCUGACGCUGAGGCACGAAAGCGUGGGGAGCGAACCGGAUUAGAUACCCGGGUAGUCCACGCCGUAAACGAUGUCGGCUCGGUGUGUGAUGCUAUUACGGUGUCGCGUGCCCAAGCUCACGCGGUAAGCCGACCGCCUGGGGACUACGGCCGCAAGGCUAAAACUCAAAGGAAUUGACGGGGGCCCGCACAAGCAGCGGAGCGUGUGGUUUAAUUCGACGCAACGCGAAGAACCUUACCCAGAUUUGACAUGCGACUGCAAGCGCACGGAAACGUGUGACCUUCGAGGGUGUCGCACAGGUGCUGCAUGGCUGUCGUCAGCUCGCGUCGUGAGAUGUUGGGUUAAGUCCCGCAACGAGCGCAACCCUCGCCGUCAGUUAUCAGUGUCUGGUGGGACUGCCGGCUGUAUGGUCGGAGGAAGGCGGGGAUGACGUCAAGUCCGCAUGGCCCGGACGUCUGGGGCGACACACACGCUACAAUGACCAGCACAGCACGCUGCAAACCCGCAAGGGGGAGCUAAUCGCCAAAGCUGGUCUCAGUGCAGAUCGGGGGCUGCAACUCGCCCCCGUGAAGGCGGAGUUGCUAGUAACCGCGUAUCAGCCAUGGCGCGGUGAAUACGU